GACGAACGCUGGCGGCGUGCUUAACACAUGCAAGUCGAACGGAAAGGCCCUGCUUUUGUGGGGUGCUCGAGUGGCGAACGGGUGAGUAACACGUGAGUAACCUGCCCUUGACUUUGGGAUAACUUCAGGAAACUGGGGCUAAUACCGGAUAGGAGCUCCUGCUGCAUGGUGGGGGUUGGAAAGUUUCGGCGGUUGGGGAUGGACUCGCGGCUUAUCAGCUUGUUGGGGGGGUAGUGGCUUACCAAGGCUUUGACGGGUAGCCGGCCUGAGAGGGUGACCGGCCACAUUGGGACUGAGAUACGGCCCAGACUCCUACGGGAGGCAGCAGUGGGGAAUAUUGCACAGUGGGCGGAAGCCUGAUGCAGCAACGCCGCGUGCGGGAUGACGGCCUUCGGGUUGUAAACCGCUUUCGCCUGUGACGAAGCGUGAGUGACGGUAAUGGGUAAAGAGGCACCGGCUAACUACGUG
rnacentral:rRNA from 1 species